rnacentral:rRNA from 1 species
AGAGUUGAUCAUGGCUCAGGACGAACGCUGGCGGCACGCUUAACACAUGCAAGUCGAACGGAGAAUAUUGGUUACUGAGUAUCUUAGUGGCGGACGGGUGAGUAACACGUGAGCAACCUGCCUUUGAGAGAGGGAUAGCUUCUGGAAACGGAUGGUAAUACCUCAUAACAUAGUUGAAGGGCAUCCUUUGAUUAUCAAAGAUUUAUCACUCAAAGAUGGGCUCGCGUCUGAUUAGAUAGUUGGUGAGGUAACGGCUCACCAAGUCGACGAUCAGUAGCCGGACUGAGAGGUUGAACGGCCACAUUGGGACUGAGACACGGCCCAGACUCCUACGGGAGGCAGCAGUGGGGAAUAUUGGGCAAUGGGCGAAAGCCUCGACCCAGCAACGCCGCGUGAAGGAAGAAGGUCUUCGGAUUGUAAACUUCUUUAUGAGGGACGAAGGACGUGACGGUACCUCAUGAAUAAGCCACGGCUAACUACGUGCCAGCCGCGGC